rnacentral:rRNA from 1 species
AGUGGCGGACGGGUGAGUAACACGUGGGAACGUGCCUUUUGGUUCGGAAUAAUCCGGGGAAAACCUGGCCUAAUACCGAAUGUGCCCCCUCCUUUAAUCAGGGGGUGGGAAAGAUUUAUCGCCAUUAGAGCGGCCCGCGUCUGAUUAGCUAGUUGGUGAGGUAACGGCCCACCAAGGCGACGAUCAGUAGCUGGUCUGAGAGGAUGAUCAGCCACACUGGGACUGAGACACGGCCCAG